GCUCACUUCAGCAGAACGUAUACUAAAAAUUGGAAUGAUACAGAGAAGACUAGCAUGGUCCCUUUGCAAAGAGGACACACAAAUUCCUUAAGCAUUCCAUAUUUUU
rnacentral:snRNA from 1 species